rnacentral:rRNA from 1 species
AGUGAACGCUGGCGGUAGGCCUAACACAUGCAGGUCGAACGGCAGCACAGUAAGAGCUCGCUCUUACGGGUGGCGAGUGGCGGACGGGUGAGGAAUACAUCGGAAUCUACUUUUUCGUGGGGGAUAACGUAGGGAAACUUACGCUAAUACCGCAUACGACCUACGGGUGAAAGCAGGGGAUCUUCGGACCUUGCGCGAUUGAAUGAGCCGAUGUCGGAUUAGCUAGUUGGCGGGGUAAAGGCCCACCAAGGCGACGAUCCGUAGCUGGUCUGAGAGGAUGAUCAGCCACACUGGAACUGAGACACGGUCCAGACUCCUACGGGAGGCAGCAGUGGGGAAUAUUGGACAAUGGGCGCAAGCCUGAUCCAGCCAUACCGCGUGGGUGAAGAAGGCCUUCGGGUUGUAAAGCCCUUUUGUUGGGAAAGAAAAGCAGCAGGUUAAUACCCCGCUGUUCUGACGGUACCCAAAGAAUAAGCACCGGCUAACUUCGUG